AAGUGGAGCAAUCCAUGAGUAAAGUGGCGCACGGGUGAGUAACACGUGACUAACCUACCCUCGAGUGGGGAAUAACCUCGGGAAACCGGGGCUAACACCGCAUAACAUCUACGGAUCAAAUGCGUAAGCAGCUUGAGGAGGGGGUCGCGGCUGAUUAGCUAGUUGGUGAUGUAAUGGCUCACCAAGGCGAAGAUCGGUAUCCGGCCUGAGAGGGCGCACGGACACACUGGAACUGAAACACGGUCCAGACUCCUACGGGAGGCAGCAGUGGGGAAUUUUGCGCAAUGGGGGAAACCCUGACGCAGCAACGCCGCGUGGAGGAUGAAGCCCUUUGGG
rnacentral:rRNA from 1 species